rnacentral:rRNA from 1 species
GAAUCGCUAGUAAUCGUGGAUCAGAAUGCCACGGUGAAUACGUUCCCGGGCCUUGUACACACCGCCCGUCACACCAUGGGAGUGGGUUGCAAAAGAAGUAGGUAGCUUAACCUUCGGGAGGGCGCUUACCACUUUGUGAUUCAUGACUGGGGUGAAGUCGUAACAAGGUAACCGUAGGGGAACCUGCGGUUGGAUCACCUCCUUACCUUAAAGAA